rnacentral:rRNA from 1 species
AUGUGGACGCCGCGGCAGAAGCGCCGAUUCGACGAGGACUGCCUCAUCCUCUCCGCCGACCCCCUGGCCGCCAACAAGGCCCGACCCGUCGUCGUCCCCGCCGCCGCCGCCGACGAAGACUUGGCGGUUGUCGCCGAGCGCGGCCCGGUGGCCUGCAGAGAUUUUCCGCACGCGAGGUAUCUCUGCGUCAAGUUCCCCUUCGCCACCACCCCUCACGAGAAGCACUGCGAGCAGUGCUACUGCUUUGUGUGCGACGUUGCUGCUCCGUGCACAACUUGGAGAGGACAUGCCAUGUAUGGGCAUUGCCAUGCUUCAGACCAGGACAAGAUUUGGAAAACCAUGAGAGGAGCGAAGAAGGCGAACCCGUGCAAGACCUACUGA